rnacentral:sRNA from 1 species
AUAGAAGAAGAAGAAGAAGAUGUU